rnacentral:rRNA from 1 species
AUUGAACGCUGGCGGCAUGCUUUACACAUGCAAGUCGAACGGGGUGAGGGGGCAACUCCCCAUUCAGUGGCGAACGGGUGAGUAAUGCAUCGGAACGUGUCCCGUAGUGGGGGAUAACGCCGGGAAACCGGCGCUAAUACCGCAUAUGCUCUACGGAGGAAAGUGGGGGACCGCAAGGCCUCACGCUAUGGGAGCGGCCGAUGUCCGAUUAGCUUGUUGGCGGGGUAAAGGCCCACCAAGGCGACGAUCGGUAGCUGGUCUGAGAGGAUGAUCAGCCACACUGGGAGGGAGACACGGUCCAGACUCCUACGGGAGGCAGCAGUGGGGAAUUCUGGACAAUGGACGCAAGUCUGAUCCAGCCAUUCCGCGUGCAGGAUGAAGGCCCUCGGGUUGUAAACUGCUUUUGUACGGAACGAGAAGGUCUCUCUUAAUACGGGGGACUCAUGACGGUACCGUAAGAAUAAGCACCGGCUAACUACGUGCCAGCCGCCGCCGUAA